rnacentral:lncRNA from 1 species
UUCCCUGGAAACCAGAACCAUCAGAAUCAUCAACAACACCACACUCAUCAUUGGCUUCCAUCUUUCACAUUCAAUCACCAUUUCCAAUAGCCAUUUAAUCGAGCGUAGCAAUUUGCACCAUCUCCAACAAUGAUUCAAUCGAGGGCACCACCAGAAACGCCGAAAUCAUUCAAUCGAGGGUGGUGGUUGGCAAAGUCAUCUGGAAAACUCUGAAGAUCAUCCCAUCAAACCCUAAAUUGGUUGUAUCUUUGUGGAUCUGCACUUCGUCGAUCUGUACAAUGAACAUCGUCUCUCUAAACACUUCUGGGUAGUAGUGUCAAAGAAAUGCAUCACUUCGUCGAUCUGUACGGCCCACCGCCAUCGCUGGUCGGAAAAUUCAUCUAGCACACUCAUCUUCUCUCAAUCUUCUUAUCAGUUCUUGUUUUGGCUGUUAGAGAAACAAGAUGCCGAUUUUGAAUNCUCCCCCCCCCCCCCUCUCUCUCUCUCUCUCUUUCUCUCUUUCUCUCUCUCGCGCGCGCGCUCUCGCACCCUCUUAUCACUUAAACUCUCAUGUAGAUCUUGCUUUCCAGUGGUUGAUUUUGAGUGGAUCUAAUUUUCGAUGGUGGUUAAUUUUCUUGGUUUUGAAUCGACCUGCUUCAGUUUGAAAUCAAUGUGUUUUGAUUUGAUUUUCUCAAAUCGAUAUGCGUUUUAUGUGAAAACGAUCAGGUGGUGGCGAAACUGAGGUUGACGGUCGCCGGAGGUGAGAGUCAUCGGAGAAGGAGGGCAUAAGCGCGUUUGAAAGGAGGUAGACAUAGGAGGCGGAUGGUCACUGGUGAUAGAGAUGCAACGAAAUGGAAUAAAAUCUUAGUGGGUGGUCAUAUUCUUUUUUUUUAAUUUUAAAUAAUAAUAAUAAAAAUAUUAAAAUAAAAUAAAAAAAUAAAUUCAUAAGGGCAAUAUAGUCAUUCUAUGUCUGUCAAAUGAUGAAGCGUAUAAAUUUAAACUAAUGAGGGAUGAAACGUACAAGUUUAAAACAAACAAGGGACGAUCUAAGUUAAUUUUUAAAAAUAGGGAUUGAACGUGCAUUUUGGCACCUAAACUAGGGAUGAUUCGUGUAAUUUACUCAUUUCAAAAAUUACGAAAUUUGCCCAAAUGUUCCAU